UUGACCUCGGAUCAGGUAGGGAUACCCGCUGAACUUAAGCAUAUCAAUAAGCGGAGGAAAAGAAACCAACAGGGAUUGCCUUAGUAACGGCGAGUGAAGCGGCAAAAGCUCAAAUUUGAAAUCUGACACCUCUGGUGUUCGAGUUGUAAUUUGGAGAGGCAUCUUCAGGAGUGGCCCAGCCUAUGUACCUUGGAACAGGACGUCAUAGAGGGUGAGAAUCCCGUUCUUGGCUGGAUGUUCACUCCCGUAUGUAGUGUCUUCUACGAGUCGAGUUGUUUGGGAAUGCAGCUCAAAAUGGGUGGUAAAUUUCAUCUAAAGCUAAAUAUUGGCGAGAGACCGAUAGCGCACAAGUAGAGUGAUCGAAAGAUGAAAAGCACUUUGAAAAUAGAGUCAAACAGUACGUGAAAUUGUUGAAAGGGAAGCGCUUGAGACCAGAGUCAGCCUUUGGCAAACAACUGUCCUUCUGGGUGGUGCACUUGUUAUUGGUUGGGCCAGCAUCGGUUGGGACGGUGGGAUAAAGGCUUGGGAAAUGUGACUCCUUUAUGGAGUGUUAUAGUCCCAGGUGACAUGCCAUCAGUYCCGACCGUGGACCGCGCCUCGGCUCGGAUGCUGGCUUAAUGGUCUUCAGCGACCCGUCUUGAAACACGGACCAAGGAGUCUAACGUCUAUGC
rnacentral:rRNA from 1 species